rnacentral:tRNA from 1 species
AGGCUCGUAGCGAAGCAUGGAUAUCGCAGCUGCCUCCUAAGCAGAAGGUCGGGGGUUCAAAUCCCCUCGAGCCUG